UACGGAGGGUGCAAGCGUUAUCCGGAUUCACUGGGUUUAAAGGGUGCGUAGGCGGGUAGGUAAGUCAGUGGUGAAAUCCUGGAGCUCAACUCCAGAACUGCCAUUGAUACUAUCUAUCUUGAAUAUUGUGGAGGUAAGCGGAAUAUGUCAUGUAGCGGUGAAAUGCUUAGAUAUGACAUAGAACACCCAUUGCGAAGGCAGCUUACUACGCAUAUAUUGACGCUGAGGCACGAAAGCGUGGGGAUCAAACAGGAUUAGAUACCCUGGUAGUCCACGCCCUAAACGAUGGAUACUCGACAUACGCGAUACACUGUGUGUGUCUGAGCGAAAGCAUUAAGUAUCCCACCUGGGAAGUACGUUCGCAAGAAUGAAACUCAAAGGAAUUGGCGGGGGUCCGCACAAGCGGUGGAGUAUGUGGUUUAAUUCGAUGAUACGCGAGGAACCUUACCUGGGCUAGAAUGCUGGGAGACCGCUAGUGAAAGCUAGUUUUGUAGCAAUACACUGCCAGUAAGGUGCUGCAUGGCCGUCGUCAGCUCGUGCCGUGAGGUGUUGGGUUAAGUCCCGCAACGAGCGCAACCCCUAUCUUUAGUUGCCAACAGGUAAUGCUGGGAACUCUAAAGAAACUGCCGCCGUAAGGUGUGGGGAAGGAGGGGAUGAUGUCAGGUCAUCAUGGCCUUUAUGCCCAGGGCUACACACGUACUACAAUGGGGGAGACAAAGGGCUGCAACAUAGCGAUAUGAAGCCAAUCCCAAAAACUCCCUCUCAGUUCAGAUUGCAGGCUGCAACUCGCCUGCAUGAAGCUGGAAUCGCUAGUAAUCGUAUAUCAGCAAUGAUACGGUGAAUACGUUCCCGGACCU
rnacentral:rRNA from 1 species